GUGCCAGCAGCCGCGGUAAUACGGAGGGAGCUAGCGUUAUUCGGAAUUACUGGGCGUAAAGCGCACGUAGGCGGCUUUGUAAGUAAGAGGUGAAAGCCUGGUGCUCAACACCAGAACUGCCUUUUAGACUGCAUCGCUUGAAUCAUGGAGAGGUGAGUGGAAUUCCGAGUGUAGAGGUGAAAUUCGUAGAUAUUCGGAAGAACACCAGUGGCGAAGGCGGCUCACUGGACAUGUAUUGACGCUGAGGUGCGAAAGCGUGGGGAGCAAACAGGAUUAGAUACCCCUGUAGUCC
rnacentral:rRNA from 1 species